GAAUUUGAAGCAUGUUGUUUAAUUCGAUAAUCCACGACAAACCUUACCACUCCUUGAAUAAUAUUUUUUAGUAAUGUAUUAGCAUAGAUAUUAUUAAUUUAAUAUUAAGCUUAUAUAUUAUAUAAUAAUAUAUACAGGUGUUGCAUGGCUGUCUUUAGUUCGUGUUGUGAAAUGUAAGGUUUAUUCCGAUAACGAACGCAACCCUUAUCUUUAGUUUAAAAUUAAAUAUAUUUGAUUUUACUUAAAGAAAUAUCUUUCGAUAUGAAGGAGUAAUUAGGAUGAAGACAAGUCCUCAUGACCCUUAUGGAGUGGGCUAUAGACGUGCCGCAAAAAUUUCUACAAAAGGAUGCAAAGAUGAAAGUCAGAGCUAAUCCAUAAAAGAAAUUAAUGUACGAAUAAGAAUCUGAAACUCGAUUCUUUGAAGAAUU
rnacentral:rRNA from 1 species